GGCGGCGGCUCUCCGCCCGGCGGCCUGGGGCUGUACGCGCCGCGCCCGCCGCCGCGAGCUCCCCCGAGGUGGAAUGCGCCUUUCCCGACAUUAGAAGAAGAGUUCAACAUUAUGACGGCGCCCGGCGGACCCGAUCACGUCGUGCUUUUGGAUGAUGAGCGUUUCUUCCAAUCUAACGUGAUAAGUGCGGAAGGCAGCGCAAUGGAUACAAGUUCCGGCGUGUGCGCGGCGGAGGGCGAGGAGCUGGCGCCCGACAAGCCGCUGCGCUCGCCGUGAUGCGCGCCGCCGCGGUGGACGCCCGCGCCGCCGCCGCACUGGCGCCCCGUCGGCCUCGCGCACCGCACGCCCUGACAGCUGACAGCCCGCCACCGACAGAACAUAGCUGACAGCUGACAGCCCGCCAAACGCAAUACAGUCCGCCAUGUUCUUUUGUACAAAAGAUUCAAUUCGUUUGUUUUUUGUUUGUAAUCGGAUACAUUCGGCCUUAUUUUUUUUUAAUGAAACAAAAGCAAUUUAUUUACAGCCAGUAUCAUAUUUCUAUAAUUUAGGAAUUUUUAAUUUCUGCCAAGGCUAUGUUUUUUUUUCGAACACCAAUGCAAUUCUUUACGGCCAGUUUUAUGUAAAAAGAAAUUGGUUUCUUUUAAAGUAUUUAAAGCGGUUUUAAAAUGUAAGUUUUGUUUUGUAAUUUG